AGAGUUUGAUCCUGGCUCAGGAUGAACGCUGGCGGCGUGCCUAAUACAUGCAAGUCGAACGAGUUUUGGUCGAUGAACGGUGCUUGCACUGAGAUUCGACUUAAAACGAGUGGCGGACGGGUGAGUAACACGUGGGUAACCUGCCCUUAAGUGGGGGAUAACAUUUGGAAACAGAUGCUAAUACCGCAUAAAUCCAAGAACCGCAUGGUUCUUGGCUGAAAGAUGGCGCAAGCUAUCGCUUUUGGAUGGACCCGCGGCGUAUUAGCUAGUUGGUGAGGUAACGGCUCACCAAGGCGAUGAUACGUAGCCGAACUGAGAGGUUGAUCGGCCACAUUGGGACUGAGACACGGCCCAAACUCCUACGGGAGGCAGCAGUAGGGAAUCUUCCACAAUGGACGCAAGUCUGAUGGAGCAACGCCGCGUGAGUGAAGAAGGCUUUCGGGUCGUAAAACUCUGUUGUUGGAGAAGAAUGGUCGGCAGAGUAACUGUUGUCGGCGUGACGGUAUCCAACCAGAAAGCCACGGCUAACUACGUGCCAGCAGCCGCGGUAAUACGUAGGUGGCAAGCGUUAUCCGGAUUUAUUGGGCGUAAAGCGAGCGCAGGCGGUUUUUUAAGUCUGAUGUGAAAGCCCUCGGCUUAACCGAGGAAGCGCAUCGGAAACUGGGAAACUUGAGUGCAGAAGAGGACAGUGGAACUCCAUGUGUAGCGGUG
rnacentral:rRNA from 1 species